rnacentral:rRNA from 3 species
UAAGUGGGAAACGAUGUGGGAAGGCCCAGACAGCCAGGAUGUUGGCUUAGAAGCAGCCAUCAUUUAAAGAAAGCGUAAUAGCUCACUGGUCGAGUCGGCCUGCGCGGAAGAUGUAACGGGGCUAAACCAUGCACCGAAGCUGCGGCAGCGACACCGUGUGUUGUUGGGUAGGGGAGCGUUCUGUAAGCCUGUGAAGGUGUGCUGUGAGGCAUGCUGGAGGUAUCAGAAGUGCGAAUGCUGACAUAAGUAACGAUAAAGCGGGUGAAAAGCCCGCUCGCCGGAAGACCAAGGGUUCCUGUCCAACGUUAAUCGGGGCAGGGUGAGUCGACCCCUAAGGCGAGGCCGAAAGGCGUAGUCGAUGGGAAACGGGUUAAUAUUCCCGUACUUGGUGUUACUGCGAAGGGGGGACGGAGAAGGCUAUGUUGGCCGGGCGACGGUUGUCCCGGUUUAAGCGUGUAGGUAUGUGUUCCAGGUAAAUCCGGUUCACUUUAACACUGAGGCGUGACGACGAGGCACUACGGUGCUGAAGCAACAAAUGCCCUGCUUCCAGGAAAAGCCUCUAAGCAUCAGGUAACAUCAAAUCGUACCCCAAACCGACACAGGUGGUCAGGUAGAGAAUACCAAGGCGCUUGAGAGAACUCGGGUGAAGGAACUAGGCAAAAUGGUGCCGUAACUUCGGGAGAAGGCACGCUGACACGUAGGUGAAGUGAUUUACUCACGGAGCUGAAGUCAGCCGAAGAUACCAGCUGGCUGCAACUGUUUAUUAAAAACACAGCACUGUGCAAACACGAAAGUGGACGUAUACGGUGUGACGCCUGCCCGGUGCCGGAAGGUUAAUUGAUGGGGUCAGCGCAAGCGAAGCUCCUGAUCGAAGCCCCGGUAAACGGCGGCCGUAACUAUAACGGUCCUAAGGUAGCGAAAUUCCUUGUCGGGUAAGUUCCGACCUGCACGAAUGGCGUAAUGAUGGCCAGGCUGUCUCCACCCGAGACUCAGUGAAAUUGAACUCGCUGUGAAGAUGCAGUGUACCCGCGGCAAGACGGAAAGACCCCGUGAACCUUUACUAUAGCUUGACACUGAACAUUGAGCCUUGAUGUGUAGGAUAGGUGGGAGGCUUUGAAGUGUGGACGCCAGUCUGCAUGGAGCCGACCUUGAAAUACCACCCUUUAAUGUUUGAUGUUCUAACGUGGACCCGUGAUCCGGGUUGCGGACAGUGUCUGGUGGGUAGUUUGACUGGGGCGGUCUCCUCCUAAAGAGUAACGGAGGAGCACGAAGGUUGGCUAAUCCUGGUCGGACAUCAGGAGGUUAGUGCAAUGGCAUAAGCCAGCUUGACUGCGAGCGUGACGGCGCGAGCAGGUGCGAAAGCAGGUCAUAGUGAUCCGGUGGUUCUGAAUGGAAGGGCCAUCGCUCAACGGAUAAAAGGUACUCCGGGGAUAACAGGCUGAUACCGCCCAAGAGUUCAUAUCGACGGCGGUGUUUGGCACCUCGAUGUCGGCUCAUCACAUCCUGGGGCUGAAGUAGGUCCCAAGGGUAUGGCUGUUCGCCAUUUAAAGUGGUACGCGAGCUGGGUUUAGAACGUCGUGAGACAGUUCGGUCCCUAUCUGCCGUGGGCGCUGGAGAACUGAGGGGGGCUGCUCCUAGUACGAGAGGACCGGAGUGGACGCAUCACUGGUGUUCGGGUUGUCAUGCCAAUGGCACUGCCCGGUAGCUAAAUGCGGAAGAGAUAAGUGCUGAAAGCAUCUAAGCACGAAACUUGCCCCGAGAUGAGUUCUCCCUGAGACUUUAGGUCUCCUGAAGGAACGUUGAAGACGACGACGUUGAUAGGCCGGGUGUGUAAGCGCAGCGAUGCGUUGAGCUAACCGGUACUAAUGAACCGUGAGGCUUAACCUU